UUGUCCCAGGUCCUCCAGCACUUCCCUGUGGGCAGCGGGCAGUUCCCACCCCAGGUUCCCUUCCUGCUCCUGCAGAUUGAGCUAGCUGCACAAGACAACUGGCAUUUCUUGGGGGCACACAUGGUGCCACUUCUGCACAAUGCCAAGGCUGCGUGUGCACAGUCCCAUCUGGGAGCCUCUCGAUUUCCCCUGGGGAAGGGGUUACAGUCACUUCAGUUUAGAGGUAAGGAAACAGGUGCAGAGAGGUUAGGAAACUUACCCCAAGUCAAACAGCUGGUCAACAGCAGAGCCAGGGCUGAUGCCUAUGUCCCUGGCAGCCCUAAACCAGCAGACUCACCUGGCUGGGACAGGAAAGGCAGAUACAGGGUCUGGAAUCUUCUCCAUCCCCUCCCUCCGGACCUGCCUAGAGUGGCUGACUGAGAAACCCUCAGGAGGAUGCGGUGAUGACUGAUGCCUCCACACUCCCACUGGGCACACGCAGGCGAAGCCUCUGUGAGAAGAGAUGCAUUCGCGAAGGAAAAACUUCAUAAAAUAUGAAGAAGACAUUAAGCUGAGGACACGUGAACCCCUGGGCAGCGAGGGCAGGAAGCUGGGGCUGUGCCCCUGGACGCUGCAGCUGGGCUGGAGCCGCCUCGCUGGCACCAUGGCAACGGCAGUAUCAGAAACAGCAGUCCUCACUAGGGGCAUGCUCAUGCCACGUGCCUGUCAGUUGUGUUGCGUUUGUUGGGUGUGAAGGGUGACGUGAUGGCCACGCUGCCCACAACAGGCAAAAGGGUGCAGACAGACAGCUGAGGCUCCUCGCUUCCCGCUCCGAAGCUCAGAACCUCCCUUCCCUCCUGGAUCCAACAGCAGCAGCUGCCGCCGCUGCCCAGGCCUCUCCAACUUGUCACCCACAGAUGCCUGGAAAAAUGCACAUAAAAUGACUGGAUGGAGAUGACCCAGGAAGGGGCCCUGUUGCCCGGGAAAUGGGAUUGCCCUGAACCGAGCUUGAAGGAGACCCACCAGCUCAUCAGAAACACCCAGUUGGACUUUAUUCAAGCAAAAUACAAAGCAGGGUUGUGCUGGGCCAUUGUAUAUUUUUGGGUUUGCUCUAUUAGAACGGUUGGCAUUACCGUCACUAAUAUACACUCACAUAAUAGUAGACAUUUUCACUAGUUAUAGACAAUAAUGUGCUAUUUUCCCUUCUGAAACAGAAAUUUGCAGCAGCACUACCAAGGGACAAUACAUUUUUAAAAAUCAUAGAAUGA